rnacentral:rRNA from 1 species
UACGUAGGGUCCGAGCGUUGUCCGGAAUUAUUGGGCGUAAAGGGCUCGUAGGCGGUUCGUCACGUCGGGAGUGAAAACUCGGGGCUUAACCCCGAGCCUGCUUCCGGUACGGGCAGACUAGAGGUAGGCAGGGGAGGGCGGGAACUCCUGGUGUAGCGGUGGAAUGCGCAGAUAUCAGGAGGAACACCGGUGGCGAAGGCGGCUAUCUGGACAGAGUCUGACGCUGAGGCGGCGAAAGCUAGGGGGAGCAAACAGG